UACGUAGGUGGCAAGCGUUGUCCGGAUUUACUGGGCGUAAAGAGCGCGCAGGCGGUCGUUCAAGUCGCGUGUGAAAGCCCCCGGCUCAACUGGGGAGGGUCACGCGAUACUGAUCGACUCGAAGGCAGGAGAGGGUAGUGGAAUUCCCGGUGUAGUGGUGGAAUGCGUAGAUAUCGGGAGGAACACCAGUGGCGAAGGCGGCUUCCUGGACCGGUUCUGACACUGAGGAGCGAAAGCGUGGGGAGCGAGCCGG
rnacentral:rRNA from 1 species